UACGUAGGGGGCAAGCGUUGUCCGGAUUUAUUGGGCGUAAAGAGCGUGUAGGCGGCCAGGUAGGUCGGUUGUGAAAACUGGAGGCUCAACCUCCAGACGUCGACCGAAACCAUCUGGCUAGAGUCCGGAAGAGGAGAGUGGAAUUCCUGGUGUAGCGGUGAAAUGCGUAGAUAUCAAGAGGAACACCUGCGGCGAAGGCGGGUUGCUGGGCCGACACUGACGCUGAAGUGCGAAAGCCAGGGGAGCGAACCGG
rnacentral:rRNA from 1 species